GACGAACGCUGGCGGCGUGCCUAAUACAUGCAAGUAGAACGCACAGUUUAUACCGUAGCUUGCUACACCAUAGACUGUGAGUUGCGAACGGGUGAGUAACGCGUAGGUAACCUGCCUGGUAGCGGGGGAUAACUAUUGGAAACGAUAGCUAAUACCGCAUAAUAUUGAUUAUUGCAUGAUAAUUAAUUGAAAGGUGCAAUUGCACCACUACCAGAUGGACCUGCGUUGUAUUAGCUAGUAGGUGAGGUAACGGCUCACCUAGGCGACGAUACAUAGCCGACCUGAGAGGGUGAUCGGCCACACUGGGACUGAGACACGGCCCAGACUCCUACGGGAGGCAGCAGUAGGGAAUCUUCGGCAAUGGACGAAAGUCUGACCGAGCAACGCCGCGUGAGUGAAGAAGGUUUUCGGAUCGUAAAGCUCUGUUGUAAGAGAAGAACGGGUGUGAGAGUGGAAAGUUCACACUGUGACGAUAUCUUACCAGAAAGGGACGGCUAACUACGUG
rnacentral:rRNA from 1 species